rnacentral:lncRNA from 1 species
UUUGUUAAUUUCAGAGCAAUCUUUCUUAAUCUGAAGGCUAGAAGGGCGGUAAUCAAGUAGGUGUAGAAAACAUAAUCGUUUCUUCUUCCCAUUUUCUCUUUGAUUGGAAAUGUGAGAAAUAUUGUGAAAAUGGAUUCCUAAAUCCAGUUCAAUUUCCAGAAGGUCACAUUGUUUCGGAUGAUUUUAAAACAUCUAAUUUAUAACUAUUGUAUUCCAAAAUCUGUGCGGCAAAGAGUUCAUAAGCGCGUGCUGAGAGAUUAAUACACGCAAGUUCGAGCAUACACAACACAUUGUCACGUUGUAUGUGGGCUUCAAUACUAAACGAUGGAUUUACAGUCCUUCCCUGCCUCCAUAGUUGAGGCAAGAUCAUCAACCUCUGUGUCUAUCUGUGAGUUCAAACACCAAUUGAAGACAAAACGUCGUAGCAAUCGCGAAGAAAAAGAUGGCCAGAAUCAAGCGAACAACGGCCAAGUAAAGAGCCGAUGCUGAUGAUAAUUUGUGAUCUUGGUCGUGAAUCAUAAUCUCAACUAGAUAAAAUCCUAAGCACGUAGAACCUGCGAAGAGAAUAUAGACCAAAAUUCCCCAACCUUGAGUCCCGGUCAAACAAUUUUCCUUCUCCUUCUCCACAUCCAUCAUGUAUUCAGUUCUGCAAAUAAAGUGACAAUAAUUUUGAAGCAGUGGAAACAAAUUAAAAUACUUGAGGCUUUUAUAAUUAUUCAAAUACACAAUUUUUGUUAGGAUAUUGACUACAAAAAAAGGCACUAAGCUAUUAAGAAUUUAACGAAUUCAUGCACGAUCCUUAAGGGUUUCACACAUUAGUACAUAACUCAAAUAAAAUCUAUACAAAUUAAUGUUGUCCUCAUCAACUAGUCUAUACACUUGUCUGCAUUCACCAUCCCCCUUAUUGAACCAAAAAACAAUAUUAGUUGGAUUAAAUCCAGACUUGCACUAAGACAAGUGCAUAGACAAGAGGACACUCCAUCCCCUUAAUUUAGAUGAAUUUAUUGUGUAACUAUCUUAUCGUUUGUAAAGGAAAAAAGUAGCACCCAAGAAAAUUAAAGAACCAAGGAGUAAAAUAUAUUCAUUCCUUAGAAGUACCACAUCAGACAUGCAUAACUAUUAUAAAUGGUUAUAUGAAAACUCAAAAAAUAAACUAGAAAAAGAUUUCCAUGUCCAAACUCCGGACAGGUUGAAAGUAGAGAAACUUACUUUUACACAGGAAGCUCUACUCAAGACUAAAAAGACCGUCUCUGGAAAUUUUUCGAGACUCAAAAACUGCUGCACAGACAUUUGAGUUCAUAAACAAAUUGUGGAUAAGGAUUUUGGAUUCAGUACGCUUGUUGUGUGUUUGAUUUAAUUCAUAAGAAUAGUUACAAAUCACUACCGUCACAAUAUUUACUUUGUUUAUACCACAUUUAGGGCCUUGCAUUUAGAUCUAGUACAAAUACUCGAGGGACUUAAAUGUAAUUAUAUGAUAAAGGAAUGGGAAAAUAUGUAAUAAGUGAGGAGUCUUUAUUCUAUAAAAUGACCCAUCACCCUCACAAGUAGGGGAGGCCAUUUCUGAGGCCAAUUCCUAGGCGCUCACCCCCUCUCAAAUCUCUCACUCUCAGAGCUCUAUCUCCCUCAGAUAAAUACAUAAUCAGUGUGGACGUAGCCCAAACCUUGGGGUGAACCACAAUACAUCUUGUGUUAUUUACAUUUCUUGCAGAUUCACGGUCGGAUUUACAUUGUUCCAAGACCUUCGGUUUUGUGCAUCAACAUUUGGCGCCGUCUGUGGGAAACGACACAAAAAGCUAUGUCGGUUCUCUUUCAAUUUUUCAUCUCACCACCGUGAAACCUUCACAACCUCACCACUGUCCACUGUGAAAUCUGCAAAAAACCCCGCUUCCCCAAGCUCAAACAAAAGGCCCCUCCCCCAGACAACCCAUCAAAUCCUCCAUGGAAAACUGCACCUCGGACUUCCAAGCUGCACCAGUUGACACCAUUUCUACGACAAUCACCAUCAAAGGCAUCCUCAGCUUGCUGCUGCAGAAUGCCGAUGAAAACGACGGCAGACGGCUGAUUUCUUUGGGCAUGGGCGACCUGACUGCUUUCUCUUACUUCCACACGACGCAUGUUUCGCAGGAAGCUGUAGUCGAUGCCCUUCAAUCCGACAAGUUCAAUGGCUAUGCACCCACUAUUGGUCUUCCUCAAACCAGAAGGCCACGAAGCGUCGGAUUCAAGGCAGUACCAUGUGGUGGUGAGCACAUGGCCCUUCGUAGAGGCUAUGGGAGCAGCAUGGAGGGCUGUGGAUAAUGGGUUCUCCACCGUGGAUGUCGUCGUUAAGAGUUGCUUGGCUUGCGAGAAGCUCAGAUGUGAUGGUACAACGUGUUGGUCUCUAUUAUCAUCAGUGAUCCCAGAGUUGGGACUGACCUUCCGGCGAAUUUUUUGUCAGUUCGACGGUGUCACGGUUUGGAUUGUUGUCGGACAAGUUGAAUUGAACUCAGCAGGCUUCCUCUCGCCGUCUCCACAACCCACUUCGCCCAGCUCGAUUCACCGUCUCAACCACCACCUCAACAUCGACCACGAGACCUUCCAGCGCUCAAGAAACCCUAACAAUGCCUGCUGUUGGUAUUGCCACCGGCGGGAACGGCAAGGCCUAUGCCGGAAAUCUCACUCCCUAGGUUCUUGUCACAUGUAUCGUUGCAGCCAUGGGUGGUCUGAUUUUCAGCUACGAUAUCGGAAUUUCUGGUGGUGUAACGUCCAUGGAUUCGUUCCUGAAGAAGUUCUUUCUGUCUAUGUACCACAAGAAGGAGAAAGACAAGACAAACAACCAGUACUGUCAGUAUGAUAGUCAAACGUUGACCAUGUUCACAUCGUCGCUAUACUUGGCUACCCUCAUAUCCUCGAUCGUGGCCGCCACCGUGACGAGAAAAUUCGACCAGAAACUGUCCAUGUUGUUCGACAGUCUGCUAUUUUGCUCCGGUGCUAUCAUCAAUGCCGCUGCUAAAGCUAUCUGGAUGUUGAUCCUCGGUCGUAUGUUGCUCGGUUUCGACAUCAGAUUCUCCAAUCAGGUAGACUACUGCUUCAUGGUCAACGCCAUCUUAGAUGCUGACAUCAGCUCAGCGAGGAUAGUAAAGAAAAAUGGUAAAACUGCAUUACAUACAGCGGGAAGGUAUGGCUUGCUCGAUAUUGCGAAAGCACUAAUAGAAUGGGGUCCAGGAAUAGUAUGCAUAAAGGAUAAAAAUGGUCAAACUGCACUCCAUAUUGUUGUAAAAGGCCAUUGUACUCCAAUUGUAGAGGAGAUAUUAGACACUGACAGUCCCAUACUGAAUGAACGUGACAAGAAGGGAAAUACAGCUGUGCACAUAGCAACAAAGGUUAAGCAUCGAUCCACGAACUCACUGCUCUGUUGCUUUGAGCUGUCAUCCGGAGCUUUACCCAGCAACCAUGUGAUAAGUUCGAUAUACUCAACAAUAUUUUGACCAAACUUUCUUGGUCUCUGGGAUUGUUGUUGGUGCAGUCAUGUGAGAUGGAUCUGCUCAUAUGUCGAGAAAGCAACAAUAAAAGCAACAACGAGCAUCACCUCUGACCCAAUAUGUCGGGAAAGCUUCGAAUCCCAUGCCCAUUUGGCAUAGUGCUAAUAAUGAUGACAGUUUACACGACCUAGGGAGGCUCACUCAAGUCAAAGAAGGCAGCAUGCUAAAGCUUCGAACCUGAGCAGUUUUUUUGAGACAUUUUUUGAAUGAUGUAAUUGAUUUUUCUUAUCUUUCGGAAACAUCUGUAUAAACCCCAUCAGAGGGUAAUAUGUAUAAACCCUAUCAGAGGGUAAAAAAAAAUAAAAAAUAAAAAAAGGCAAAGCCCAAAAUAAAUGGACUGGAAUGUUAUGUGGAGGUCGAAGGCCCAUAAGCCCAAAAUAGCUCCAACCAGGCGAUCAAAAGUACGCCCAGUACUCCACAAUUAUUCGACAACCUGCCGCUAUUACCACCAACCAGGUGAUCAAAAGUACGCUCAGUACUUCAAAAUUAUUCAGCAACCUACCGCUAUUACCACCAACCAGGUGAUCAAAAGUACGCUCAGUACUCCAAAAUUAUCCGGCAACCUGCUGCUAUUACCACCAACUAGGUGAUGAAAUCUACAACCCGUACUUUAAUAUCAUUUGGCAACUAGCCAUUCAUGCCACCAACCAGGUGAUGAAAAGUACAACCCGUACUCCAAAUAUCAUUUGGCAACUAGCCAUUCAUGCCACCAACCAGGUGAUGAAAUGUACAACCCGUACUUUCCUUCAUGCCACCAACCAAGUGAUCAAAAGUACGCCCAGUACUCCAAAAUAUACAUGAGCAUUACUCAUGUCAUUCAUACAUAAACAUUCAUGAGCAUCACUCAUGACAAUUAUACAUAAACAUUCAUGACCAUCAUUCAUAUCAACAUUCAUGAGCAUCACUUAUGACAACAUUCAUGAGCAUCACUCAUGACAACAUCCAUGAGCAUCACUCAUGUCAAUCAGCUUCAAAAGCUUUAUUUACAGAGCUCUAGCUUCAAAAGCUUCAUUUAUAAAAGCUCCAGCUUCGAAAGCUUCAUUUACAAAGCUCUAGCUUCAAAGCUUCACUUGCAAAGCUUCACCUACAAAGCUUCAGCGCAAGGUAUACAAAUACCACCUCCGAACAACCGCCACUUCGGCCCAUCCAUGGAUUCAAUUUGAAGUCUCCAGCCAACAGACUCUAUUGACCGAAGACUUGGGGAACUACAUUAUACACACAUUAUACACCAUAUAUUAGGCCUCAACUGGGCCUCAUGAAAAAUACUUGGGGGACUCUAGCCCAUAUUUAUGUAUUGAGGAGCGAGCCCUUGUUCUAUAAAAGAGACCCCCUCACAAUCAUUUAAGAGCACCACCGCCUACUGAGCAACCGCCUCACCGCAAGCAACAACUCUAGCCCAUCAUUCAUGUAUUGAGGAGUAAGCCCUUAUUCUAUAAAAGGGACUCUUUCACCUUCAAACGCCACAAGCCAAACCAACCAAGGCAACAUAAGCCACGAGCCGAGCAGCCUCGCAGCGUGUGCUACUUCUAGUGGAGCAUCAUUUCAGACUGAGCACUGCCUCAUAUCGAACGUCAGUUCAAGACAACAUCUAGUUACUUCGGCCCACACAUGGACUAAAUUUCAAGUCUCCAGCCAAAAGACUCUCUUGACUGAAGACUUGGGGGACUACUGUUUAUACCAUAUUUAAGGCCUCGUAUUUAGAUCUCAUACAAAUACUCGAGGGACUUAAAUGUAAUUAUGUGAUAAAGGAAGGGGCAAAUAUGUAAUAAGUGAGGAGUCCUUAUUCUAUAAAAUGACCUCUCACCCUCACAAUUAAGGGAUGCCAUUUCUAAGGCCAAUUCCUAGGCGCUCUCCCCCCUCUCAAAGCUCUCACUCUUAGAGCUCUCUCUCCCUCAGAUAAAUACAUAAUCAGUGUGGACGUAGCCCAAACCUUGGGGUGAACCACGAUACAUCUUGUGUUAUUUACAUUUCUUGCAGAUUCACGGUCGGAUUUACGUUGUUCCAAGACCUCCGGUUUUGUGCAUCAACAUACUUUAAAUCUCUUUUUCGGCUUUCAACAUCGUAUAUUUGGGCAUGGUUUGGUGGGAGUCGUUUAGGACUCUUAAAUAUUAUUAUUAUUAUUAUUAUUUUAACAAAUGGCAUUAUUUACACUAAGGGGAUGUGGGAGUGAGUUAAGCCUCACAAUGGGCUAGCAAUAAUAUGGUUCAAAUUUGCAUUUGGCGAGAACCGAACUUAAGACUCUCACUUAUAAGUAAAAAUGAAUAUCACUAGACCGUAGUACUAAAUGACAUGACUCUUAAUUAUUUGGACUCAGAUUAUGCAAAUCCCUUAAUUUCUACAAUUAUCUCAUCAGUUAACAAGGCUUACCACAAUUCUCUCACAUCUUUAUCUGUCUCUUGAUGUCCACUCUACUUAACCUUUUUGUACAUUCAGUGUGACAAUACAAAUUGAAAUUUGAAACAUGGUUGUUAAUAUCUUUGGGCCUAAAAUGACAACUUGGGUUGAGAAGGGUUAACCCGAGAGAAACGAUUCCCAGUCCAGUAAAUAUCCUUCAGGCCAGUGGGCUUUUAGCUCACUAAUAGGAUCAGUUCGACCGAAUCCUCAUGAAGGUAGAACUAUAAAGAGAUUAAGGAUGGGAUGGCUCGGUCGAGUCCUACACAAAUUAAAAUUGCCAAAGCUCAAAAUAAGUCUUGGAUAAAUUUGAAUUAUCCCGAGGAUUAGAGUGCCUACAUGAUUAGAUAAAGAUGAAUGAAUCUCAUAAUGAGAUUAGGUUCUAAUUCAUAGUUGGAAUCAAAGAAGCCAAGACUCGAUGAAGAUGAAGUAUUGGCUAGGAAAGGAUAAGGGGAAUAUUGAAGCAAAUAUGAAGCAAACACAAUCCCGUCAAGACUCUAUAUCACCAGGCUUGUUUAUCAUGGAAGCCUCGCCUCUAAAUAGAGGAAGCUCUGCAACUGUAAAAGCCAUUUCAACUCAAUAAACGAUACCAAAAACACUCUAUGUGAAGCCUUCUCACAUCCAUGAGAAAAACACUAACUAUCCAACCCUCCCAUCAACACAUCUUUAGUUUGGACAAGUGAACAACACUGUGUUGACAUCCAAGAACAUCGUUAGUUUGGAUUAACAGCACUGAAGCCGUGGAACCAGGUGAUUCAAAAGCACCUUCAAUUAGGAUAAUUAACCUUGUCUUCGGGUUCUAGAAUCCCCAAGGCCGAGACGCAUUCCUUCCUCAGCUGUAAUUGCUUGAGUGCAGAAGUCAGCACCGCAUUCGACACCACCACCACAUCUAUUCUACUCGUCCAACAGAGCUUGGUUAUGAGUUGGCAUGCUCGCAUUCACAAGAAGGAUGUAGUUAGCUCAUAAUUAUUUGAUCUACGUGCUACAUAUACUUUGUAAUUUCUAAGUUCAACAACAACACAAAUUAAAUUGUCAUAUCUUUGAUUCAACUAAUAGUUGUCGGAUGACAACACAAGUUUUUACCUCAGCCUCUAUUUAUUAUUAUUUUUAGUCUCAAAACAGUUGAAAACAAAAGAUCAGUCUGUGCGAAUGAAAUUGUUAUUUCUGAUUAACUUUUUUUAAUGACGUUUAUAUUGUUAAAUUAUAUGAUUCUAGUGUUCUCCUAAUCAGUAACAAUAUAUACAAUUAGUAUGCAACGUACAAAUAAUGAAGUAUGGUCGAAAUAAUUUGCGAGCUAUUAAUGAAAAGAGCAAGAAGACAGCUGGUAGACAUUGGUGACCAUGAUGAGUAAUUUGGGACUACAAAUUCAAACAUAAAAUUCCCCCCUCAUUUGGAAUGCUAACUGUAACGAUAUGUAUGAAUACACCAAAGAACAUGGCUAUUGCAAUAUCUAACUCAAUUCGCACAUGAAAAUGCUUAAGGCUUGGUAUGACAAUAUAAACAUCGUUUCCAUACACUCUGUUCAACAAAAAUAUCAACAAGCUCUACCAUUUACGGGAAUAGGUUGAAUACGGAGAAAUUAUUGAGCAGUAUACGACUUUCGUCUCUUAAAGAUUGGUCACAUAACUAACAUGUGAGGGUUGAAUAUGAGACUAGGGUUCAUAGGUGGUUGAGGCAGUCGAAAGCGGAUCAUGCAUAUAGAAACUGUCACAAAUAGCAUACUGGAUUAAGACCGACUAAGGGGGAAGCUUCGUUGAACUUACAAGAAAGAUAAUCGAGUUCUUGGAUUCGGCGGGAGAAAUUUCUCAUGCCUUUUCCUCAAGAAAACGUUAAACUGUAUAGGCUAGGGCUUCUUCAGACAAGAUUUGUUCUAGAUAAAUCAUAAACUUUGGCACCAUUAUCUCAUUUAACUUCAAUAAAUGUGCUUUCUGACAAGACACUUUCCUUUUAGAGGAAAGUUUUUGGUGAACAUAUAUUUAAUCUCGACAGUCUCCUAAACAACAAAUGUGUAUUCAUUAGUAAGCUGAUUAAAAUAGUUUGUUCACCGGCUCCUUUGACUUAAGUUUGAAUUCUCUUCCCGACAUUACUGUGAUUUAGAAUAUCUCAUUGUCAAAACUGGACGCUUAAAAACGAAACAUUUGACAUAUACGCAUACAAUACGUUUGAUGAGAGCCUCCAGGCCAUGACAGUGCUCCUAAUUAGUUUUUGUUCAGCAUUUGCUCAACAUAUACAAAUCAGCAAAUAGGAAAAGAACAAUACUGCAUUCCAAUAUAGAUGGCCAAGAUAUAAAUAAUACGGAACUAGAGUCAUUGACAGCCUGGUAGGCUGGUAUACAUGUGGCUAACAGGGUGGUGUAAUUUUAACAUAUAAACACACUGUUUUAAUUAAUUAGUAUAAUUAGAAAGCUAAAGUUGUCAAUCAUGUUUUAAAUUCAAUGAAGAAACAACCUGUGUAGAUUAACAACCGUAACUUAGGUAACUCAAUCCUCCAAGUCAUUAAAUCUUCCACACAUAGAUCGAAAACUAGUAGCUACGGUAGAACUUCGCAUGUAUGCAACUAUGCAAGCAGUAGUCGUAAUAGAAAAGAUCGAUUUGCAGAAAUUUAAUUGCAUAUCAACGAGCAAGAGCUCCACAUAGUGCCUUGGUGUGUUGAGUACACAAAAAAAUGGACGGAUGCUCGUUGAGGUUUUCAAUAGGAAAAACGUGCAUGUAGCGCGUUGAAUAUACCCCGUGUUCCUAUCUCUAUUAAUCCAGGUGUAUGUAAGCCAUUAUCAGAGUUCAGAGACUCAAUAUAUGUUUAUUAAACGUACAAUCGGCAGAAACUAUAGAAUUUCGCGUGUCUGCAAGCAUAGUUGUAUAAACUAAAAAAAACACAAAACAUUUGAUGGCAGAUCAACGGAAAAGCCACGUCGUGCCUUGGUGUGUGUUCAUUACACACACACAUGAACUGGUGUGUGUUCAUUACACACACACAUGAACACGUAGACUUUUGCCUGAGAAAGAUAAGAUUGUCCUCAUUAAAUGGGCAGGCUUGUCACAUACUCCCACACGCAGCUCACAUCCUAAAGGUCCCUGCAACUGAAUACGACUGUCCAUAGGUCACCCGCCAUUGGCAAGAAAAAGUCAAAGCAUUAAAGAUAAUGAGUAAUUACCCAAAUCUCAUCUUUAAUACAUUUUCAAUUAAAGAUUAACUCCAUUCAAGUAAGUAAUCUCGAUUUAAUUCAAUUAUGAAUAAUUACUCCAUUAUCUCAAGAUAUUAUCUCCUAUUUAAUAUCUUGAGAAUAUUCCUCCAUAAACCUUGGCCAAUAGGAUGUUGUCAUGUGUAGGGUAAAACCCUAACACUAUGGCCACCCCUCUCCUCCUAUAUAUACCCUUUAUUCUACCAAAUUUCGGUAAGCUUUUGUUACCCUAAAAAGCCCUAAACACUUUAUUCUUCCCAGAAAAACUAACUUAGGCAUUGGAGAUCCAUUGGCCUAAUGUGUUGAUUGUUUUGCAGGUGCAUUUUUCGUCAAAGUUAGAAGCGGCGGAAAUUUGCAUCGACAGGUGGUUCGUUAAGGAGUCCAACAGAAACUUGUAUGAAGCAGGUGUAUAUAUCCAUGCGUAUAUUGUGACAACCCGUCCCUAAUUGUACGUUUUUAUUAAUUUUAAAAGCGUGA